rnacentral:rRNA from 1 species
UACGUAGGGUGCGAGGGUUGUCCGGAAUUAUUGGGCGUAAAGAGCUCGUAGGCGGUUUGUCGCGUCGGCCGUGAAAUCUCCACGCUUAACGUGGAGCGUGCGGUCGAUACGGGCAGACUUGAGUUCGGUAGGGGAGACUGGAAUUCCUGGUGUAGCGGUGAAAUGCGCAGAUAUCAGGAGGAACACCGGUGGCGAAGGCGGGUCUCUGGGCCGAUACUGACGCUGAGGAGCGAAAGCGUGGGGAGCGAACAGG